rnacentral:piRNA from 1 species
AAGAACAAGACACAGUUCUAAGGGACAAA